rnacentral:rRNA from 1 species
AGCGAACGCUGGCGGCAGGCUUAACACAUGCAAGUCGAGCGGGCAUAGCAAUAUGUCAGCGGCAGACGGGUGAGCAACGCGUGGGAACGCACCUUUUGGUUCGGAACAACUGUGGGAAACAUCAGCUAAUACCGGAUAAGACUUCACGGGGAAAGAUUGAUCGCCGAAAGAUCGGUUCGCGUCUGAUUAGCUAGUUGGUGGGGUAAUGGCUCACCCAGGCGACGAUCAGUAGCUGGUCUGAGCGGAUGAUCAGCCGCAUUGGGACUGAGACACGGCCCAAACUCCUACGGAAGGCAGCAGUGGAGAAUAUUGUACAAGGGGCGCAAACCUAAUCCAGCCGUGCGGCGUGAGUGGUGAAGGCCGUAGGAUUGUAAAUCUCUUUUGUGCGAGAAGAUAAUGACGGUACCGCAAGAAGAAGCCCCGGCUAACUUCGUG